rnacentral:miRNA from 1 species
AGGUUGGCGCAAAAGUCAUCGCGGUCUUUGCCAUUAGAAAUAAUGACAAAAACCACAAUUACUUUUGCACCAA